GAUGAACGCUGGCGGCGUGCCUAAUACAUGCAAGUCGAGCGAACAGACGAGGAGCUUGCUCCUCUGACGUUAGCGGCGGAUGGGUGAGUAACACGUGGAUAACCUACCUAUAAGACUGGGAUAACUUCGGGAAACCGGAGCUAAUACCGGAUAAUAUAUUGCACCGCAUGGUUCAAUAGUGAAAGACGGUUUUGCUGUCACUUAUAGAUGGAUCCGCGCCGCAUUAGCUAGUUGGUAAGGUAACGGCUUACCAAGGCAACGAUGCGUAGCCGACCUGGGAGGGGUGCCGGCCACGAGAGGACAGGAGGACAGGCCGGACUCGGACGGGGGGCAGGAGUAGAGUAGUCGGCGAAAGGGGGGAAGGCCGUACGGGGGAAGGGCGGGUGGGGUGAGAACGCCUUGGGGGCGGAAAGCUCUUUUUAUUAGGAAAAAAAAAUGUUUAAAGAAGGAACGACGUUGACGGGACCCCUAGAAGAAAACCCGGCGAAAACCGUG
rnacentral:rRNA from 1 species